rnacentral:rRNA from 1 species
UCCGUAGGUGAACCUGCGGAGGGAUCAUUACCGAGUUUACAACUCCCAAACCCCUGUGAACAUACCUUAAUGUUGCCUCGGCGGAUCAGCCCGCGCCCCGUAAAACGGGACGGCCCGCCAGAGGACCCAAACUCUAAUGUUUCUUAUUGUAACUUCUGAGUAAAACAAACAAAUAAAUCAAAACUUUCAACAACGGAUCUCUUGGUUCUGGCAUCGAUGAAGAACGCAGCAAAAUGCGAUAAGUAAUGUGAAUUGCAGAAUUCAGUGAAUCAUCGAAUCUUUGAACGCACAUUGCGCCCGCUGGUAUUCCGGCGGGCAUGCCUGUUCGAGCGUCAUUUCAACCCUCAAGCCCCCGGGUUUGGUGUUGGGGAUCGGCUCUGCCCUUCUGGGCGGUGCCGCCCCCGAAAUACAUUGGCGGUCUCGCUGCAGCCUCCAUUGCGUAGUAGCUAACACCUCGCAACUGGAACGCGGCGCGGCCAUGCCGUAAAACCCCAACUUCUGAAUGUUGACCUCGGAUCAGGUAGGAAUACCCGCUGAACUUAAGCAUAUCAAUAAGCGGAGGA